UUUUCUUGAGUUAGCCACGGAAGGAUAUUUUUUAGUUCUUGGUGUAGACAUCCUAUUUUGUUGGAAAAUCAUUUUGUCUAAAAUUUUUUUCGAAAUUGAAACCAGACUUCAACCGUAAAUUGAAUCCAAUUGAAAAAAUAUCUAUUUUUUAACUUAAUUUUGAUUUAAUUUUAUUUUUGUCUAAAAAAAAGAAAUAUUUUAAUGAAAUUUGGAAAAUGAUGUUGAGAUAUUUGUUGAUAGAUUUUUGGAAUUCAAUUCUAGAAUUAAUUCAUGUUAAAAUUAAAUCAAAUAAAAUCAUAUAUUUAAGGAAAAUUGAUUUAGCAUUAAUUUCUAUAUAAAUCUAAAGGCAAAGCAGAGAAGAAAGUGGGGCAAAUAAGCAGAAUUGAAGAAGCAAUCGAGAGCAAUUCAACUCAAGGAGAUUUUUGGCAUUCAAGCUAAAUUCUCUAGAGCAGUGACAAUUCUACAGGCAGCAAUUGAGAGAGAGCCUGCAAUCGAGCAAUUAGAAAAAAGCAGAGAAACAAUUGUGGAAUCAAUUUGGUAGAACAAGGGAUCAUUCAGCAACAAAUUUUUUUUUUGGCAACAAGCUUUCAAGCAAUUCGGCAACACAAUGAUUCAACACCUAUUCAGCCGUGCAAAUUAGCGGGAGUAUCAAAUAGCCACAACAAACCGAAAUAGACAAAUCCCAUUCACCCCCAAGUGCAUUAAUCAAAUUCAACAAGAAGAAAAUCCAGAACCCAGCCAACCUACAAAUAAAAGCAAGAUCAGACAACCUCAAAUAGAGGCAGAAAACGAAAGCAACAAGCAAUUGGAUAACCAUACACGGAACAUCAGCAAUUACGUAGCAAAAAGGAAAGUUCCAAAAGGUUCUUGGUUGAGGUUUGAGGCAAAAAAUAGAAAAGGUGACAGGAAGUGGAGAACAAUGGCAAAUGGCUGUGGCAGUAAGCAGGAUCUCGCUGGUUGUUGGGUUGUUUUGCGAAUGUUCUAAUUUUUAGGUUUCUUGAGAAAAUUUAAAGAGGGGAUUACAAGGAGUUUAAAAAAUGAUUCUGUUUUGGACUUUCAUCGCUGUUAAGUGACGACGAACAGUGGAAGAGGUGGCUGUUUUCAAUCGGGACUUGGGCUGGGUAGGUUCUCUGGUUAGUAGAGAAAGAAGAAAGAGAGCAAGAGCUUGAUAUCAGUUUUGGGGUUUGAC
rnacentral:lncRNA from 1 species